AUGCUGCAGAUACUCUUCGCUCUCAUCACUGCUCUCUCCGGUGUUGGGUGUGUGACGAAGGUGACACAGAAUCCUUCGUCUCUGAUGGUGUCACUCGGCCAAGCGGCCACCAUCGACUGCAACAGCGGCACAGCAGACAGCUGGAUCCGCUGGUACCGCCAGGUCCCUGGGAGCCAGCCGCAGUUUGUGCUGUAUUUCGGAGACGGAAAAUCCUCUGUUUCCUACGGCUCUGGGUUCUCCUCCGAAAGAUUCACGUCCAAAUAUGCUUCGCUCCCUCCUCCCUCCCUGACUCUUCUCCCUCCAUCACCUGCGGAGCUGGCCACCGGAAAAGCCUCCCUGGUGUGUCUGGUCAAGAUGUCUGAGGCUUUCGCUGAAGUCUCCUGGACGGAUAACGGGAAUCCGGUGGGCGAUGGAGUGCACACCAGCCCCGCUACGCAGCAGGCUGACAAAAGCUUCCAUUUCACCAGCCUGCUGACCCUGCCGGGCUCGCAAUGGGAAAGCGAUCACGUCUUCAUAUGCAAAGUGUCCGCUGGCGCUAAGUCAUCGAGCGAAGCAAUAAGAAAGUCUGACUGUGGAAUAUAA